rnacentral:rRNA from 1 species
GACGAACGCUGGCGGCGUGCCUAAUACAUGCAAGUCGAACGCUGAAGGAGGAGCUUGCUCUUCUGGAUGAGUUGCGAACGGGUGAGUAACGCGUAGGUAACCUGCCUGGUAGCGGGGGAUAACUAUUGGAAACGAUAGCUAAUACCGCAUAACAGUAGAUGUUGCAUGACAUUUGCUUAAAAGGUGCAAUUGCACCACUACCAGAUGGACCUGCGUUGUAUUAGCUAGUUGGUGGGGUAACGGCUCACCAAGGCGACGAUACAUAGCCGACCUGAGAGGGGGAUCGGCCACACUGGGACUGAGACACGGCCCAGACUCCUACGGGAGGCAGCAGUAGGGAAUCUUCGGCAAUGGACGGAAGUCUGACCGAGCAACGCCGCGUGAGUGAAGAAGGGUUUCGGAUCGUAAAGCUCUGUUGUAAGAGAAGAACGAGUGUGAGAGUGGAAAGUUCACACUGUGACGGUAUCUUACCAGAAAGAGACGGCUAACUACGUG